rnacentral:pre_miRNA from 1 species
AAAGAGUAUAGUUUUGCAUUGUUUAUGUCCAACGUUCGACUGUUCAUAUUAUUUUUUUUAAAAAAAUAUGAUUAGUAUUAUUAUUAUUAUUAGAUCAUAAAACAUGAAUAGUACUUUAUGUGUGACUAUUUUUUUAUAUUUUCUCAUAAAUUUUGAAACAAGACGUACGAUCAAACGUUGAACACGGAAACCCACAACUACAUUUAAA